CCGGCGACCGGCGCACGGGUGAGUAACACGUAUGGAACCUGCCCUAUGCAGGGGAUAAGCGGAAGAAAUUCCGUCUAAUACCGCAUAACACCUUUAGGAGACAUCUUCUUGGGGUCAAAGGAGGCGACUCCGGCAUAGGAUGGCCAUGCGUCGCAUUAGCUAGUCGGCGGGGUAACGGCCCACCGAGGCGACGAUGCGUAGGGGUUCUGAGAGGAAGGUCCCCCACACUGGUACUGAGACACGGACCAGACUCCUACGGGAGGCAGCAG
rnacentral:rRNA from 1 species